GUCUGGAGACAGGUGCUGCGAUGGCUGUCGUCAGCUCGUGUCGUGGAGAUGUUGGGUUAAGUACCCGCAACGAGCGCAACCCUUGCCUUUAGUUGCCAGCAGUUCGGCUGGGCACUCUAAAGGGACUGCCGGUGUUAAACCGGAGGAAGGUGGGGAUGACGUCAAGUCCUCAUGGCCUUUAUGACCAGGGCUACACACGUACUACAAUGGCCGAUACAAAGGGCAGCGACACUGCGAGGUGAAGCCAAUCCCGUAAAAUCGGUCUCAGUCCGGAUUGGAGUCUGCAGCUCGACUCCAUGAAGUUGGAAUCGCUAGUAAUCGUGGAUCAGCAUGCCACGGUGAAUACGUUCCCGGGCCUU
rnacentral:rRNA from 1 species